AGAGCGAACGCUGGCGGCAGGCUUAACACAUGCAAGUCGAGCGGAUGUAGCAAUACAUCAGCGGCAGACGGGUGAGUAACGCGUGGGAACAUACCUUUUGGUUCGGAACAACCCAGGGAAACUUGGGCUAAUACCGGAUAAGCCCUUACGGGGAAAGAUUUAUCGCCGAAAGAUUGGCCCGCGUCUGAUUAGCUAGUUGGUGAGGUAACGGCUCACCAAGGCGACGAUCAGUAGCUGGUCUGAGAGGAUGAUCAGCCACAUUGGGACUGAGACACGGCCCAAACUCCUACGGGAGGCAGCAGUGGGGAUAUUGGACAAUGGGCGCAAGCCUGAUCCAGCCAUGCCGCGUGAGUGAUGAAGGCCCUAGGGUUGUAAAGCUCUUUGUGCGGGAAGAUAAUGACGGUACCGCAAGAAUAAGCCCCGGCUAACUUCGUGCCAGCAGCCGC
rnacentral:rRNA from 1 species